GAAACCUAAAGGAAUUGGCGGGGGAGCACCACAAGGGGUGAAGCCUGCGGUUCAAUUGGACUCAACGCCGGGCAACUUACCAGGGGAGACAGCAGAAUGAGGGUCAGGUUGACGACCUUACCUGACAAGCUGAGAGGAGGUGCAUGGCCGUCGCCAGUUCGUGCUGUGAGGUAUCCUGUUAAGUCAGGCAACGAACGAGACCCGCACCUUUAUUUGCCAUCAAGAAGUCACGACUUCGUUGGGAACGAUAAAGGGACCGCCGUCGAUAAGACGGGGGAGGGAGCGGGCAAAGGCAGGUCAGUAUGCCCCGAAACCCCUGGGCCACACGCGGGCUGCAAUGGUGCGCACAGUGGGCUGUGACUCCGAAAGGAGAAACCAAUCCCGAAAUCGCAUCUCAGUGGGGAUUGUCGACUGUAACUCGUUGACAUGAACGUGGAAUCCCUAGUAAUCGCGUGUCACCAUCGCGCGGUGAAUACGUCUCUGCUCCUUGCACACACCGCCCGUCGCUCCACCCGAGUGUGUUGGAAAUGAGGCCCGGUCAAUCUGGUCGCGUCGAGUUUCUAGCAUGCGAGGAGGGUUAAGUCGUAACAA
rnacentral:rRNA from 1 species